rfam:Glycine soja cultivar W05 scaffold1366_6, whole genome shotgun sequence.
GUGUCACCUAGUGUUCCCUCGAACACUUCAACGAGGAAAGCAGUUUUGAAAUUAUAUACCUUCAUUUCUCCUCUCUGAAGUGUUUGGGGGAACCCCUGGUAGCAU